CGCGUAGGCGGAUGCUUAAGUCAGAGGUGAAACGCCCAGGGCUCAACCUUGGAACUGCCUUUGAUACUGGGCAUCUUGAGUAUGGGAGAGGUGAGUGGAACUCCGAGUGUAGAGGUGAAAUUCGUAGAUAUUCGGAAGAACACCAGUGGCGAAGGCGACUCACUGGCCCAUUACUGACGCUGAGGCGCGAAAGCGUGGGGAGCAAACAGGAUUAGAUACCCUGGUAGUCCCAACGCCGUAAACGAUGAGUGCUAGUUGUCGGCAUGCAUGCAUGUCGGUGACGCAGCUAACGCAUUAAGCACUCCGCCUGGGGAGUACGGUCGCAAGAUUAAA
rnacentral:rRNA from 1 species